rnacentral:misc_RNA from 1 species
CCAUCAGAAAAACCCAAAGCAAGAUUCUCUGUAACAUUGAAACAAGGAACAUAUUUUUCAGACUCUUGAGAACAGAAUUCGACAUCCUUCAACCUUGAAGAACCAAGAGACAACUCGCCAAUAUCCCAUAGGUCCGAAACAAGUUGCUCCUGAAGUCGCCUAUAGUUAUGGAGUAUUUGACCUCUUGACGAGGUUGAUAUUGAGAUAGUCCACCAGAAAGAUCCCGUAAGAGCAAGAACUAAAAUCACAACCAAGCUCAACUUCAAAAGUAGCAAUGUGAAUUUGUUCCUGCUCCUUGGAGUCCCAAUGCUGAAUG